rnacentral:rRNA from 1 species
UGGGGAAUUUUGGACAAUGGGCGAAAGCCUGAUCCAGCAAUGCCGCGUGUGUGAAGAAGGCCUUCGGGUUGUAAAGCACUUUUGUCCGGAAAGAAAUCCUUGGCUCUAAUACAGUCGGGGGAUGACGGUACCGGAAGAAUAAGCACCGGCUAACUACGUGCCAGCAGCCGCGGUAAUACGUAGGGUGCAAGCGUUAAUCGGAAUUACUGGGCGUAAAGCGUGCGCAGGCGGUUUGCUAAGACCGAUGUGAAAUCCCGGGCUCAACCUGGGAACUGCAUUGGUGACUGGCAGGCUAGAGUAUGGCAGAGGGGGGUAGAAUUCCACGUGUAGCAGUGAAAUGCGUAGAGAUGUGGAGGAAUACCGAUGGCGAAGGCAGCCCCCUGGGCCAAUACUGACGCUCAUGCACGAAAGCGUGGGGAGCAAACAGGAUUAGAUACCCUGGUAGUCCACGCCCUAAACGAUGUCAACUAGUUGUUGGGGAUUCAUUUCCUUAGUAACGUAGCUAACGCGUGAAGUUGACCGCCUGGGGGAGUACGGUCGCAAGAUUAAAACUCAAAGGAAUUGACGGGGUCAUAGCUGUUUCCU